CGGCCAUAUAUACUGGUUCUCACAGCCUUUUCAAUAACAGCAGGAAUCGCUUCCAGGCUGCUUGGGCGGACAGAUAGUUUGUUAUACAGCCUAGCAGCUUCAACCUGUGGGAAUUCCUGGAAAGCUCCCAUGGUUUCCUGAUUUCUGUCAGAAGAGCCUCCAAUUACAAUCAAAGGCCAGCAGUUCAUGUUUGCAUUUGCCAUCCCACCAAGGGUAUGUAAAAAACCCGGACCAGAAACCACAAGACAUACUCCCG
rnacentral:lncRNA from 1 species